CCAUCUCUGGAAGUGCCAUAGAGCGCUGCAUUUGGGAACUUCAUCUGCAUUCUGGAACUUUCUAUGUGCAUCCUGUAACUCCCUGCAGCCGAAAACCCUUUGCAUCCUGGGAACUCUCUGCAUCCGGGACCUCUUUCUUGGCAGUGAAGGGACAUUUCCUCAAGUAGCCCAAGUUGCCUGCUGCCCAGUGUGUGGGUUGUUAAAACAGUCAUUGCCUGCAUUCUGUCUAGUUUCCUCAAGAGGCCUGUGGUCCCUCUGUUCCCAUCAGGUUGGGAAACACAGCUCUCAUCUGUUUACUUGGCUCCUGUAA
rnacentral:lncRNA from 1 species